rnacentral:rRNA from 1 species
AGAGUUGAUCUGGCUCAGGAUGAACGCUAGCGGGAGGCUUAACACAUACAAGUCGAGGGGUAUAAUUAGCAAUAGUUAGAGACCGGCGCACGGGUGAGUAACGCGUAUGCAACCUGCCCUUUACAGGGGGAUAGCCCGUAGAAAUGCGGAUUAAUACCCCAUAGUUCCCGGAUGCCGCAUGGCGACCGGGAUAAAGUUUCGGUGGUAAAGGAUGGGCAUGCGUGGCAUUAGCUUGUUGGUGAGGUAACGGCCCACCAAGGCUGCGAUGCCUAGGGGUUCUGAGAGGAAGAUCCCCCACACUGGUACUGAGACACGGACCAGACUCCUACGGGAGGCAGCAGUGAGGAAUAUUGGUCAAUGGGCGAGAGCCUGAACCAGCCAUCCCGCGUGCAGGAAGAAUGCCCUAUGGGUUGUAAACUGCUUUUUCGCAUGAAGAACAUCCCGAACGUGUUCGGGACUGACGGUAAUGCGUGAAUAAGCACCGGCUAACUCCGUGCCAGCAGCCGCGGUAAUACGGAGGGUGCAAGCGUUAUCCGGAUUUAUUGGGUUUAAAGGGUGCGUAGGCGGUUAGAUAAGUCAGUGGUGAAAUCCUGCAGCUCAACUGUAGAACAGCCAUUGAAACUGUCUGACUUGAGUGAUCUUGAGGUAGGCGGAAUGUGUAGUGUAGCGGUGAAAUGCUUAGAUAUUACACAGAACACCGAUUGCGAAGGCAGCUUACCAAGGGUUUACUGACGCUGAUGCACGAAAGCGUGGGGAU